CUCGAGUGGCGAACGGGUGAGUAACACGUGGGUGAUCUGCCCUGCACUUCGGGAUAAGCCUGGGAAACUGGGUCUAAUACCGGAUAGGACGAUGGUUUGGAUGCCAUUGUGGAAAGUUUUUCGGUGUGGGAUGAGCUCGCGGCCUAUCAGCUUGUUGGUGGGGUAAUGGCCUACCAAGGCGUCGACGGGUAGCCGGCCUGAGAGGGUGUACGGCCACAUUGGGACUGAGAUACGGCCCAG
rnacentral:rRNA from 1 species